GGCGCCUUGGACGCCCAGAGCUGGUCCUGGCCAGAGCGACACAGAGCCCUGCACUAACUAGGGAGGAAGCCUAGGGCUGAGGGCAUCUCUGCCUCGAAGUCACCUGCUUGCCUAGGAACUCGCACUGCAGAAAAGUGCCGCAGAAUCAUAAACCAGCUUUGUGCCUGCUUCAGAGCUCACUCUGCAACUUGGAACGAUCAUUUCCUUGAUUCAGCUCAGGUACAGGAGAGGUAUCUGGCCCAUCUCAUCACUGGUUCCUUGUGAAGAAACACUGCUGUUUCUGAGGUGACAUUUGUCUUGCUUGGACCCCCGUGUCAAGAGCGGCUCCUUCCCAGAACCUGCUAUACUUUAAAUAUGAAGUCACUCCAGGAGACUAAUGUAGUGAGGGCUUGACCCACAGGCAUCACAGUUCAGAGGUGGGGCUGCAGAAGUGACUGGUCUGGAAGACACUGGCUCUCCCCAUGUACUAAAGCCCACAGCGUUCACAGCUGCACAGGCCGUGAGAAAGCGAGGCCCACCUGGAGGAAGGAGGUUCUUGGGCUGUAACUUUAGAGUGUACUUUAUCCCCAGCGCCCCCUCCUCUGGCUCUCUGCACUCCCUCUGCUUUCUGGAUACCUGAAGUGAGCAUCUUUCCUCUGCCAUGAUGUCUUCGUUGAGUCACAGCCCUAACAGUAAUGGGGCCUGCUGACUGUGACCUAAAACCUCUGAAACUAUAAGACCUUUGUCGCCCAGCUGGCCUCUGCCUGCACAUGACCCCUACAGGAUGAUGGCAAUACAGCAUCCAGAGCCACCCUUCACACCACAGACUGCCCCACUCCUUGGCUGCUACUCCUGACUGCUUGAGUGGUGCCAACACGGCCUCUUCUAGCCUGGAGCCCUGGUCCCCACAGAUCACAUGGGCCCCAGCCCACACGUCCAGGUUGCUGCCAGAGUGUUACCGCUGGACGAGACCCUCCUCCUGGACACUUCCUUCCAGGUACAGUCCGUGGCCCUUGCUCACCUUCGUUUUCUCCAGUGUACAGAGAAGCCUCUGACAGGCUUUCUGAUUUAUUUGCCACACGCCUUCCCCAUUGGUGUCUAACCUCAGAGCAAAUGGCACCUGGGUCAGUGAUGUGCACGACCGGACUCUCAAAACUCAGAAGUGUGCCUGUCCACGCACAAUGCAUGCAGCAGUGACUAGAUGAGCACAUAAAAUGUCAGAAGUCCAUGCAACCCACGAAAGAAAAACAAAGACCUGGGAGAGAAGCAUAGAGCUUACGUUAUGGAGAAGUCAAACAGCCAUAUUCUAAGACACACAGCCUUGUGGUCAGUGGUCUCCCCCACUGAACUGUCCUGGGGACUGGACGGAAGCAAGCCAGUGCCCGAAGCAAAGGGCCUGUGCAGCCAGUACCCUGCUGCAGAGCUUACCCAUGACUGGGGCGGUAGGAUGAAGGGCGUCUCUGUCUCUGCAGGCACACAGAGCCACGACCCAGCCUCAGCUCAUCACCACACCCGCUAGGCCCCCUCUGUCGCCAGCAAGCCUCUUGACCAAGCGGGUGAUCUGGGUGGGCACAGGUUAGGGAUCUGCCAUCCACUCCUGUGUUACCCCGCAAGCGUUAGCCCCUGCGGGUGCCUGCAAAAUGACAGCGACGAACCAGUGUUUAAAAGUCUGAAAUUAAAGGCAGUCCAGACUCCCACCCACCUUGUGCUUGC